GAGAACAAUUCAAAAGUCGUGACAUACUGGAGCACUCGAAUGCGCGCAUGCGCAGUGCCUUCCCUCGCGGCGUCCAGCGAGAGUUCCUGAAAGUUUGGGAUAUCUCUGCUGAGUUCUGAAACCCCGGAAAAAUCAGUUUCUAGGUUCUUCCUGGCGGAUAAAUCGCCGACCAAACACAUGAAAUCUGGUAGUUUAACCGUUAGACCCUGGACCCCUCCCCCGGUGAUCGUCGAGGGUAAAAAAAUCUAAAAAUGGAGGACCUAAAUAACGUCUUCGCCUCCCUCCACCUCGAGAGAUUGCCCACCCCAUGGGUGACCGCGAUCUGGGAGGCGCAGUUCCUCAUCUUCGAGGCGAUCCCCGAGGACUACAUUCCAGAGCUCGAGUCUCCAGACGGCGAUCUCGACGCGAUCCUCGGGGACCUAAUAAAAACCCUAAAACACUUCAUGUCGAAAAACAAUCGCAACAACCCCGCGGCCCCCCAGGAGUCGGUGUUCUCGUGGCAGACGCUCACCGCUGCAAACGCCGAGCCACGCCCUCUCCUGGCACUACUCGGAUGGCUGAUGAAGAUCGGCCAGGAUCGCGAUUACGACGAGGACGCGCGUCAGUCGUGCCUCCUGGGGACGAGCCUCUACCUGACUCUCCUGUCGAUUCCCGGGAGUUCGGUUUACCAGGUGUUCCAUGAGAACCUCUUCCACCUCGCAUUGGACACGUUGAAGCUCGCGGAGGGUCUGGUGGCCUCGGUGAAGAAGCCCAGGUCGUCAAACCUGGCGGAUCCCCACGAGAACGAUGAAAACCUCCCGAUUAUGAGUCACGCGCAGCGACAGAAUUUAACGGCAAGUUUGAACACAAUAAUGUACGAUAUGAUCGUCUUCCUCGGGGGUUUCAGCCUCCUGGAGCUUCCGCGCUCCCUGGAGGCGGUGAUAGCAGCACUCGUCGACGUGACGAAGCUCGGAGUAGACGCCAUCGUCCAAAGCCCAAGGAAAAGCACGAGCCCUCCGGCCACCCUGGGCACCCUCACCCACAACGCAUACGUCGCCCUGACAGCCACCUGUCACUCGCGUCACGGCCCCAUCUCCAUAACCAUCAAGCUCAUCAUCAAGAAGAUCCUCAUGUUCAUGACCCAAAACUGCUACAACGAUCUGAAUUCCAAACUCCUGGCGACGAUCAGAAAGUCGACAAUUCACUUCUUGGCGAGUCUCGUCGAGCCGCACCAGGAGGCGGUGGAGGCCGGGAUUCUCAUCCUCAUGAAUCAGAUAAUGAUCCAUUGUUCGAAAAUUGCGGAGGACCGUCGCAAGGAGGUCUCCAUGAUCAUCGAUCUCCUGAGGAUCCUGAAGAGCAGUCGCUCCCGGGGCGACAUCUGCAGGGACUUCCUCAGGUGCUCGCACAAUACCAAGAUUAUCUGGAGGAUCUUUGCGCAGGAGAUUCUCAACAAGUACCUGAAGAUGCCGGACGACCUGGAGCGCGUUGAGGGCCGGAACCUGAGGAAGAUCCUCCUGGCGACGGUCCUGUGUCACUGCAACGACGUGUCGAGCCUCGUCAGGACGAAGUGCGUGUCGACGCUUUCAGAGUACACUGAGGACCCGGAUAAUCUCUUCGUCAGGGAGCUGUUCACGAGGAGGGAGGAGGGAGGUGAGUUCACGGUUUUCGAGGAGCUGGAGGAGGGGAUGGAGAACCUCGCGGGAGACCUGGACAUUCUCCCCGGGGCUGAUGCUAUGAUGGCCAUGUUGACGGAACGAUUAGAGGACGAGAGAGCGGCGGUGCGAAUUUCCGUGAUUCAGAUACUCCAUAAUUUUGUGAUGGUUAACGAGGACUUUCUCAUGGGAAUCAUCGACAUCAUCGCCGAGCACUGCCGCGAUCCCACAAUGACUGUUCGCAUCCGAGCAAUUCAGGUUCUAACGUCUUUGUUUCAAUCGUUUCCGCGUCAGGAGGGCUUCUGCACGACUUGGGUGAAGUCAGUCGUUCCCCAGGUGUUCGACAUCGAGGUGAAUGUCCAGGUGGAGGCCCUCAAGGCACUGGAGUCCCUGACCCUGAAGAGAAUAUCCCCGCCGGGCGAAAACGAUGAUCUGCCCUGGAGGGUGCUGGACGAACUGACUAGGAAUAAGAUGAGGAAACACCUGACAAAGGCCUGCGACGCUUGGACGGAGUCCGGACGACUAACUAAACCCCACAUCAGGAGCAUAAAGUCCCAAAUUGGGUUGGAACACAACAUCGAGGCGUGGAUAUUCCUCGCGGCGAUCUCCGAGAGUCAAGUCCUCGAGGACAUGCAACACCAUUUCCGGGAAUACGAGGCGUUAUUCGAAGGGGAGGGAUACCUGGAGCCCGUCUUCGAGGUCCUGAGGAGCUGCUGUUCGACGUUUGAUCAAAACUUCCUGGAGGAGAUGCAGCAGAUUUUCCUGAGGCGGCUGCAGGAGUUCCGGGUGCACGAGAGACUGAUCAGUAUAUCCUUGGACAUAAUUCACAAGGUGUCAGCUUUGUUGACGCCCUCGGAUGAGCGUAGACCCUUUGAGGAUGAGAUGAGGCACCUCCUGGAGGCCUCCGAGACAAUCAUCGGGUCGAUAAUCCAUCAGGAGACUUCCGAGAGUACCUGCAUAAGGGCGAUUUACACCCUGGGGUAUACCUCCCUACUGUGUCCCCAAGACGUCUCCCUCCCGGUCUUGAGGAUUCUCCAGGGCCUUCUCAUCUCCCCAGAGACGACCUCCACGUCGUUCACCAGCCCCAAGCGUCUCCAAGCCUGUGCAAUAGUAGCCCUCGGGCAGCAGUCCAUGCGUAAAGAAUCAAUUGCUCACGAAAUGAUGACCAUCUUCGCACAGCUCCUCUGCACCAGGUCCUCAGAUGAUACAUCUGAGGACGCCGCCAUUCGCGUCAAUGCUGCAAAGGCACUAGCCGACGUUGCCACGAGGUUCACCUCCCUAGUCGAGCCCCAUCUCCCGGACAUCUGUGUCUCCAUGAAGGACAGCAAUCCCAUCGUCAGGGAAGCCAUCGUCGUCAUCUUCAUUCAACUUCUGGUGGAGGACUAUAUAAAGGUCAAAGGAACCUUCUUCUUCCACAUCCUGACGAUGCUGACGGACCCCAAGAAAACCAUCCGCGAGAUGACGGUCUUCCUGAUCAAGGAGAGACUCCUCAUGAAGAACAAGAAUCUCAUCUCCCAGCAAUUCCUGGAGGCCAUCUUCCAUUACAACGACUUCGAUACGAACAACAAAUUCUGCAAGCGGAGCAUGAAAGAUAACGAGAAAAUGGCGCUGGUUCUCAGUGGAGAUAGCAAUGCACCCAAUCGCAGGCUCAUCUACGACUUCAUGCUGGAGAACCUCGAUCCAGCUGGAAAAUCGAAGCUGCACCAGGUCCUGACGACGCAGAUAUUCAAUAAUUUUCUAAGUAAAAACUUUAAGAUAACGAAGGGACAGGGUCGCUGGGUCCUGAGGGACGCCCUCUACGUCGUCGCGAGUGAUCACCUGCAGGUGGGGGGCGGAAUGCGCAGUCAGGGUGACGAAGAGGAGGAGACGGAGGGAGGCAAGACCUCCAACUCGGCAAAUGUUCAUCUGGAGAAGGCGAAAAAGCACAGGCUUUCGGUUUUGUUGCCGAAGCUGGCCGAACUAACGCGACUGAUGAGGAAGACCGAAGUCGAGGGCGACCUUGGGAGGGCUUUUGUCAAGAUUGCAGGCGAAUUCGGGAAGGAGCAGUUGGCCGGACUGUUCGCGGAGUUUCCGGGUGUCGAGGAAGAGAUGGAACGAUGUGUUAGAUUGCACGGAAAGAGAGGGGAAAUGGAUGAGGAUGUUGAUGAUUCCUCGCAACCGGUUGAGGAAUCGACGUCAAUUAAACAAAAGUAUUUAUCACUGAAUGGCAAAAGUCCGCGGAUAGUUCUGAGAAGACUCUCCUCGCUGACUUAUCCAGGUCUCAAUCAUUCCGCGAAGCCGAGGGAGAGAGACAUGAGCAGAACUGUUUCCAGUCCAGUGGUUGUCUUGAGUGACUGCGUGCGUGAUCUUAAUUUAAUUAACAUGCCGGAGUCCUCGAGAGGUGAAGCACGAGGGGCCGAACGGCAAGAGAGGUGAUGGGUUAAAACUUAAUGAGGAUUGAAUGCAGUCAUUGUCUGGAACUGGUGAGUGGUGGGAUUAACUGAAGAGGAUUGCGAUGAUGUGGGAGGCUGGGGGAAAAUGGAGUGAAUGCAGUCACUGGCCGGAACGAAAGGGGAGGAUUGAAUGGAUUCGAGGGUCAAGCGAUCUCUAGUUGGCCUCCAGACACUUCUGAGGGUCAAAUGGCCCUGAUAACCCUCAGAGCUGAGGGUCAGCCCAUCCUGGGGAUCAAACAACCCUUAAAAAUCGGAUUGGCCAUCGCUUCCUGAGAGAGCAAUAUCUCCGAAUCUAAGAGAGAUAGCGAGGUUUUGGUCAUUACCUUUCUUGUAGAACUCAAUUCGCUCCAUAAAAAAGGUGGAGAACACGUGAGACAGGAGCGAGAUCAACCGAGUGGUGCUAACAAAAAAUCACUCCAACAGAGGCUGGUUCGGUAUUGCGUAAUGGUCCGGCGGUUUUAAAACCCGUGAGUUAACCGUUUUACGUAAUUCCUCAACGUGUGCGAGAAGGUUCCUCUUCUCUUUGAGGUCAACGACAGCUGGAGGAUUCAUUCGUGAGUCUAUCCCCAUGUUUUAUGAUCUUUUUUAGUUGUUUUUCCAGUUAUUUUUAUCUCUCUACCGGCCGUGAAAACCGUAAAAAAAUCUUUAAAAAAUAAAAAAGAAAAUUCGAUCUACAUUCCAGACAUUCGUGUCGCUCUAUCAAUCGAAAAAUUUCCACUCAAAUGAAUUCAACGGCCCGUUUUGCCCCCACAUUCUUUAAAAAAAAUCAUUCCGUUUUUUUCCGACAGAAAAUUUCUUUCAUUUUUUUUCUUUGAAAAUUUUUCAACUAUUUUCUAAUCAAUAGAGCUCUGCAUUCAAAACAAUUCUGUAAAUAUUGAAUAAUCAUAAUUUAUGUUCUGUUUUUCUCACAUUAAUAAUAUCAUUAUUGUUAGCCUGAGAAAAAGAGGAAAUAAAUAAUGAUGAAUGAUAUUCUCUUAGCAUUUUUAGGGUGGGAAAAAUAGAAAAUAAAUAGUAUUUGUGGAGAAGGACUCGUCGCUAACAGGGUAUCAUGGGCCAAGUGGAGAGUCAUUCAUCCACAGCCAUUCAUUAUUUUUUUUUUUCGGGUGGACGGCCCCACAACAAGGGGUCACAACCAAAACUUACCAGCCUUUUGGCAUUAGGAUCCGCCCCUUGCUGUAAUAGCUCGGUCACAGCUUCAAUAUGGCCCCCAGCGGCCGCCAAUAUGAGCGGGGUCGUGCCGUCCUAAAUGAAAAAUUAAUUUUCUUGAGUGACUUUUUUAAGCUCCGAGACUAAUUGGGUUUUGGAACUUCGCGGGCUGGGGAAAACCGAUUUUCCACACGUUGCCAUGAAAUCUCAUAUUUAGACACUAGUAUAGAAACGAAGUUUUUGAAUACGAGGAUUAUUUCGCGCGCUUCUGCCUCGCGCUGCAAAGAUCGCGUUUCCGUCCUCGUAAUAAAAUUUAUUGUUUCGCUCCUUUGAUUGGCCAGAAAAAUGCAUAUUUUCGGUUUAAGUGCACUAAAAACUGUCCUGUUCAUUUUUGUUGAUAACGUCCUAGGAUCAUAAAAAAUUCGUUUCCAUCGUAGCACCGAAAAUGAACCUUUUUCGUCCUCGUAAAAAAAUAGUUUCUUUCACCUUCUGGUCGGAGAGAGAUUGCGAAUGUUUUUGGUAUUCGAUGCACUGCAAAGUGUUUAGUUUAAUUUUACAUUGAGCUAAUCUCGGGCGGAAAAGGGCUUUUUAUGUCCUAGUACGAAAGUAAUUAUUAUCGUGAAGAGAAUGAAUUUUUCGUGGAGGUACCCCAAAAACUACAUUUCUCCCUCUUACCCGGAGGGAAAAUCCAAUAAUUUUGUGUGCGUAUACAAAAGAAAAUCUAUUUCUCAAUUGAUUUUGCGACUACUUUUCCGUCCUAAUACGAAAAGUAAAAAUUUACAGACGUUUCCUAGUUAAAAAAAAAACUUAUCACAUCAAAAAGUCAGGCUUUUGAUUUUCUUAUCCACUAAUCCAAUGAAUUUGGAACAAGUGACUCAUUCGCUUUUUUUAUUCAGUAAAUAAAUCCAAAUUUGGGGGACUCACCUUAUCUUUACAGUCAAUAUGAACCCGUCCCGACUCGAGGAGAACGCGAAGACGUUUCGCAUCACCACGUGCCGCUGACAGAUGCAGCUCCACGUCCCACGGGGAUUCUUUCUAUUAAUCAAUUGGCAAAUUAAGAAAAAAAUGAAAACAUUUCGAAAGCUGAUAAAUGUGGAUCAGGGCCGUGAAAACGGUUGCGAUAAUUUUUUCACUAAUGAGUAAUUAAGUAGAAGAAAAUUUGCAUUUAAUGAGGAUGAAGAGAACGACUUUUCCCCUCUCAUAAAUUAUUUAUAUUUUUUAACACGUGUUAAUGCCACACGUAUAUCUCCGGUGUGCGUUAAUAUUGAUAUGAGAUAAGGAGUUCGCGUUUUAUUGACAUUUGCGUCAAUUUUUCGUUUUUUAAGGCGAAAAAUUGUUUUUUUCUCGUGAAAACUAUUUUUUUAUCGCAAAAACAGUUUUUUUAACGCGAUAUUAAUGAAAACAUUUAUUUUAUUAUAUCCUCGCGGGCGUUAAUAUGGAACGAGAGAUAAGGAAUUCACGUUUUAUUGAUAUUCGCGUCAUAUUUGCGUUUUUUAACGGUAAAAAAUUUUUUUUGCUAAAAAACAUUUUUAACUCGAUAGUAAUUAAGAAAUUAAUUUUAUUACCUUCAUGGACAUUUUUAAUUCAUGAAGCGGACUGAAUAAUUGUCGCGAUUGACGGAAAAUAUCGAAGUAAAAAAUAGAAAAUCUUUUUUUAACUGCACAUCGCCGAGGCACUUGUCACUACCGCCUGUCACUGCGUGAAUUCAUGAUAAAAAAAAAUUAUUGCGAUACUGCGGGGACUUCGGGGCGUGCGGAAACAAUAUUUUGUGGGGAUUUGGUGACGAAUAUUGAUGGGUUUCGCGGCUGGGGAGCAUAUCCUUGAGGGAGGAGCCGCGAGACACAUCAGCGGCCGCGAUCGGUCGUCCGAUGACUACGGACUCGACGUUUCACCGCGGUGGUGAUGCACCUGAGUGGGAGUUGUGGGUUGGAGGGGGCAGCACGGUCCAAUGAGAUGAAUUUUCCAAGGCUUUUAAUGAGUAUUACAAAGAUUUCGUUAUUUAAAUCCUCCCGCGGAUUCGGGUCCUCAAGAUGGCGGCAGUGAUUCCCCCCCUACGUAUCGAGUCUCUUCCCGACUCAUUCUUUCCGGUUUGGAACCCUGCGUGAAAACGUCGACAG